GCCUGCGUGGCUCAGUUGGUUGAGCUUCUGACUCUUGGUCUCAGCUCAGGUCAUGAUCUCACGGUUCGCGGGUUCGAGCCCCGCGUCGGGCU
rnacentral:tRNA from 1 species